GCAACACCAUUGAGGACGUAAGCAUGGGCAAAGACUUCAUGACUAAAACACCAAAAGAAAUGGCAACAAAAGCCAAAAUUGACAAAAGGUUUCCUUAAUGACAACAAAAAAGGGAGUAAUCCUACCCACUGUAAGAGUCAUGACUCUUGAUUGCAGCUGACAGAAACUCAUGACAGCCUGCUUUAGAUGAAGGGGGAGAGAAGGACUGGAAGAAUCUUGGAGUUGGGAAUGUCACACGUAAUUGAAGGAAGAACAAGAAAACUAUAAUUCUUCCCCUGGAGGCUGGAGUUUCCAGGAUGUCAAAAUUACCUCUGCUUGGGUGAGCUAUUUCAAGCAGCUGGGAUACCUGUGUCACUCCUGCUGUCUGCCAGUGACUGCCCAGGUGUCUGCUGGUUCCUCCCCAGGAGUAGGGAGGAACCAGGUGGGCUGGCUGGGAUGGGUGGAUAUUUAAAGACCAGGCCUUGGACGCUGCAGCACUUCUAUCUCUGCUUGAUGCCUGCUGCCACGUGGCUGGUCCUCCUCCUCCUGCUGUGGCUGAGCCUUGGGGUGAAGACAGGCAGCUGCUCCCAACCCCAGAACCUUUGCUGUCUUGGGACGGAUCACCACUGCAAGAGGGGAAGUUGCUACUGUGAUGAAUUCUGCCAUGUGGCACCAGACUGCCACCCAGACCACAGUGUCCUCUGCAACCCUGGUCAAAGGUGCCUACAUGCUCCUUCUAGCUUUGUUUCCCUGAUGUUCCUUGCCACCUGCUACUCCUCUCUGAGCUACUUUUCCAGCUUCUCAGAUGACCAAGAUGGUGCUGCAGAUGGUGCUGAGGAUGGAGAACCCACCAAGCCCCG
rnacentral:misc_RNA from 1 species